rnacentral:rRNA from 1 species
CACGGGGGGAGCAAGCGUUGUUCGGAAUCACUGGGCGUAAAGGGCGUGUAGGCGGUCAGGUAAGUGAGAUGUGAAAUGCCCCGGCUCACCCGGGGACCGGCAUCUCAUACUGCUUGGCUUGAGUACGGGAGAGGAUGUGGGAAUUCCUGGUGUAGCGGUGAAAUGCGUAGAUAUCAGGAGGAACACCGGUGGCGAAGGCGCACAUCUGGCCCGAUACUGACGCUGAGGCGCGAAAGCCAGGGGAGCAAACGGG